GAUCCUGGCUCAGGACGAACGCUGGCGGCGUGCCUAAUACAUGCAAGUUGAGCGCUGAAGGUUGGUACUUGUACCGACUGGAUGAGCAGCGAACGGGUGAGUAACGCGUGGGGAAUCUGCCUUUGAGCGGGGGGACAACAUUUGGAAACGAAUGCUAAUACCGCAUAAAAACUUUAAACACAAGUUUAAGUUUGAAAGAUGCAAUUGCAUCACUCAAAGAUGAUCCCGUCGUUGUAUUAGCUAGUUGG
rnacentral:rRNA from 1 species